AAAGGCGUUGGUUGCUUAAGACAGCAGGACGGUGGCCAUGGAAGUCGGAAUCCGCUAAGGAGUGUGUAACAACUCACCUGCCGAAGCAACUAGCCCUGAAAAUGGAUGGCGCUGUAGCGUCGUGCCUAUACUCUGCCGUCAACGGCAAAGCGGGCGGCCCCUCACGGGGCUUCGCCGUUAAGCCUUGACGAGUAGGAGGGUCGCGGCGGUGAGCGCGGAAGGGUCUGGGCGCGAGCCCGCCUGGAGCCGCCGCCGGUGCAGAUCUUGGUGGUAGUAGCAAAUACUCCAGCGAGGCCCUGGAGGACUGAUGUGGAGAAGGGUUUCUUGUGAACAGCUGUUGCACAAGAGUCAGUCGAUCCUAAGCCCUAGGAGAAAUCCGAAGCGAUGGUCUGCCGUUAUAACGCUC
rnacentral:rRNA from 1 species